rnacentral:rRNA from 1 species
GUGUCAGCCGCCGCGGUAAUACGGAGGGAGCUAGCGUUGUUCGGAAUUACUGGGCGUAAAGAGUACGUAGGCGGUUAUUCAAGUCAGAGGUGAAAGCCUGGAGCUCAACUCCAGAACUGCCUUUGAAACUAGAUAGCUAGAAUCACGGAGAGGUUAGUGGAAUUCCGAGUGUAGAGGUGAAAUUCGUAGAUAUUCGGAAGAACACCAGUGGCGAAGGCGACUAACUGGACGUGUAUUGACGCUGAGGUACGAAAGCGUGGGGAGCAAACAGGAUUAGAAACCCUUGUAGUCC